UUUUAGAUGGCUGAAAGCAAGCAUUGGUCUUUUAAACCAAUUUAUAGUAUAUUUGCAAUUACUUCUAUAAA
rnacentral:tRNA from 1 species